GUAGGUGGCAAGCGUUGUCCGGAAUUAUUGGGCGUAAAGCGCGCGCAGGCGGUCCUUUAAGUCUGAUGUGAAAGCCCACGGCUCAACCGUGGAGGGUCAUUGGAAACUGGGGGACUUGAGUACAGAAGAGGAAAGCGGAAUUCCAAGUGUAGCAGUGAAAUGCGUAGAGAUUUGGAGGAACACCAGUGGCGAAGGCGGCUUUCUGGUCUGUAACUGACGCUGAGGCGCGAAAGCGUGGGGAGCAAACAGGGAUUAGAUACCCUGGUAGUCCACGCCGUAAACGAUGAGUGCUAAGUGUUAGGGGGUUUCCGCCCCCUUAGUGCUGCAGCUAACGCAUUAAGCACUCCGCCUGGGGAGUACGGCCGCAAGGCUG
rnacentral:rRNA from 1 species